ensembl:lncRNA
CCUUGCUUACAUUUGUAUACAAUUCCAUAUUUAUCUCUAUUAUGAGUAGGAAUAAAUUGGAACAGAUUUCCAAUAUUAAAAUCACGUUUCUUUGGGGGGUGGAGUGGGAAAUAAAAACCAUCCAUUGGCCACAAGUUGGGGAACCCUGAUGUAUAGUAUUAUAGUAGGUUAGGUGAAUUGACAUGGCAGGUUAGGUUAGGUGAAUUGACAUGGCAGGUUAGGUUAGGUAAAUUCACAUAGCAGGUUAGGUGAAAUGACAUGGCAGGUUAGGUUAGGUGAAUUGACAUGGCAGGUUAGGUUAGGUAAAUUCACAUAGCAGGUUAGGUGAAUUGACAUAGCAGGUUAGGUUAGGUGAAUUGACAUGGCAGGUUAGGUUAGGUGAAUUGACAUAGCAGGUUAGGUGAAUUGACAUAGCAGGUUAGGUGAAUUGACAUAGCAGGUUAGGUGAAUUGACAUAGCAAGUUAGGUGAAUUGACAUAGCAGGUAAGGUGAAUUGACAUAGCAGGUAAGGUGAAUUGACAUAGCAGGUAAGGUGAAUUGACAUAGCAGGUUAGGCUAGGUGAAUUGAUAUAGCAGGUUAGGUGAAUUGACAUAGCAGGUUAGGUGAAUUGACAUGGCAGGUUAGGUGAAUUGACAUGGCAGGUUAGGUGAAUUUAUAUAGCAGGUUAGGUGAAUUUAUAUAGCAGGUUAGGUGAAUUGACAUAGCAGGUUAGGUGAAUUGACAUGGCAGGUUAGGUGAAUUGACAUAGCAGGUAAGGUGAAUUGACAUAGCAGGUUAGGUGAAUUGACAUGGAAGGUUUGGUGAAUUGACAAGGCAGGUUAGGUGAAUUGACAUGGCAGGUUAGGUGAAUUGACAUGGCAGGUUAGGUUAGGUGAAUUGAUAUAGCAGGUUAGGUGAAUUGACAUGGAAGGUUUGGUGAAUUGACAUAGCAGGUAAGGUGAAUUGAUAUAGCAGGUUAGGUGAAUUGACAUAGCAGGUUAGGUGAAUUGACAUAGCAGGUUAGGUGAAGUGGUAUAGCAGGUUAGGUGAAUUGACAUGGCAGGUUAGGUUAGGUGAAUUGACAUGGAAUGUUUGGUGAAUUGACAUAGCAGGUAAGGUGAAUUGACAUGGAAGGUUAGGUGAAUUGACAUGGCAGGUUAGGUGAAUUGACAUGGAAGGUUAGGUGAAUUGACAUAGCAGGUUAGGUGAAUUGACAUGCCAGGUUAGGGGAAUUGACAUGGCAGGUUAGGUGAAUUGACAUAGCAGGUUAGGUGAAAUGACAUAGCAGGUUAGGUGAAUUGACAUAGCAGGUUAGGUGAAUUGACAUAGCAGGUUAGGUGAAUUGAUA